AAUAGAUACCCGGUAGUCCACGCCGUAAACGGUGGACACUAGGUGUGGGCGACAUUCCACGUCGUCCGUGCCGCAGCUAACGCAUUAAGUGCCCCGCCUGGGGAGUACGGCCGCAAGGCUAAAACUCAAAGGAAUUGACAGGGGCCCGCACAAGCGGCGGAGCAUGUGGCUUAAUUCGACGCAACGCGAAGAACCUUACCAAGGCUUGACAUACACCGGAAACGUCCAGAGAUGGGCGCCCCCUUGUGGUCGGUGUACAGGUGGUGCAUGGCUGUCGUCAGCUCGUGUCGUGAGAUGUUGGGUUAAGUCCCGCAACGAGCGCAACCCUUGUCCCGUGUUGCCAGCAGGCCCUUGUGGUGCUGGGGACUCACGGGAGACCGCCGGGGUCAACUCGGAGGAAGGUGGGGACGACGUCAAGUCAUCAUGCCCCUUAUGUCUUGGGCUGCACACGUGCUACAAUGGCCGGUACAAUGAGCUGCGAUACCGCGAGGUGGAGCGAAUCUCAAAAAGCCGGUCUCAGUUCGGAUUGGGGU
rnacentral:rRNA from 1 species